rnacentral:rRNA from 1 species
GUAAAUAAUAAAGGGCGUAUGGUGGAUGCCUAGGCUCUCAGAGGCGAUGAAGGACGUGAUAAGCUGCGAAAAGCUCCGUUUAGGUGCAAAUAACCUUUGAUGCGGAGAUCUCCGAAUGGGAUAACCCAAUAUGUUGAAGACAUAUUAUACCGUAAGGUAGGCAAACGCAGGGAACUGAAACAUCUAAGUACCUGCAGGAGAAGAAAACAAACGUGAUUCCCCCAGUAGCGGCGAGCGACCGGGGAUAAGCCCAAACCGUUAUUGUUUCGGCAGUAGCGGGGUAGUAGGACUGCGACAUUGAUGAAAUAAAUGAAAUGGAACACCUUGGAAAAUGUGAUCACAGAGGGUGAUAAUCCCGUACAUGUAAGUUUAUGAAUCAUAGCAGACUCCUGAGUAAGUCGGGACACGUGUAAUCCUGACCGAAUCCGCCGGGACCAUCCGGCAAGGCUAAAUACUCCUGAGAGACCGAUAGUGAACCAGUACCGUGAGGGAAAGGUGAAAAGCACUUCGAACAGAAGAGUGAAAUAGUCCCUGAACCCAUACGCCUACAAGCAGUCGGAGCCGCUUCGUGCGGUGACGGCGUGCCUUUUGCAUAAUGAGCCUACGAGUUACUCAUCACCAGCGAGGUUAAGUACUUCAGGUACGUAAGCCGAAGCGAAAGCGAGUCUGAAUAGGGCGUCAAGUUGGUGGUGGUAGACGCGAAACCUUAGUGAUCUACCCAUGGGCAGGGUGAAGGUUUGGUAACACAAACUGGAGGCCCGAACCGGUAAACGUUGAAAAGUUUUCGGAUGACCUGUGGGUAGGGGUGAAAGGCCAAUCAAACUGGGAAAUAGCUCGUACUCUCCGAAAUGCAUUUAGGUGCAGCCUCUGUUGUUUUGUUCUAGAGGUAGAGCUACUGAUUGGAUGCGAGGGCUUCACCGCCUAUCAAAUCCGGCCAAACUCCGAAUGCUAGAACAUAAAGACAGGGAGUGAGCCAGCGGGUGCUAAGGUCCGUUGACGAAAGAGGGAGAACUCAGACCAUCAGCUAAGGUCCCCAAUUAUAUGCUAAGUUGGAAUAAAAACGGGGUGGGACUGCUUAGACAGCUAGGAUGUUGGCUUGGAAGCAGCCAUUCAUUUAAAGAGUGCGUAACAGCUCACUAGUCGAGCGGUCCUGCAUGGAUAAUACGCGGGCAUAAGCAUAUAACCGAAGCUAUGGGAUUGUAGAUGAUACAAUCGGUAGGAGAGCAUUCCAUUCAGCAUAGAAGCAGUAUCGUGAGGUAUUGUGGAGCGGAUGGAAAAGCAAAUGUAGGCAUAAGUAACGAUAAUGCGGGUGAGAACCCCGCACGCCGAAAGAUCAAGGAUUCCCCGGCAAUGUCAAUCAUCCGGGGGUAAGUCGGAUCCUAAGGGUAAGCCGAGUGGCGAUCCCGAUGGUAAACAGGUUAAUAUUCCUGUACUGAUCAUAACUGCGAUGCAGCGACGCAGAGGUGACACUGCUGCGUACUGACGGAAUAGUACGUUGAAACCCGUAUUCUUUGAUACCGGUAGUGAAGCACGCCGGUAGAGAUGAAAGGUGAUAGUACCGCAAUGCUUCGGUUGCGCGGAUAAUGCAGGUAAGCUGACUGCCAAGAAAACCUGCUAAGCUUCAGGUAAUGAUCAUCCGUACUGUAAACGGACACACGUGAUCAGGUAGAAAAUACUAAGGCGCUCGAGAGAUUCAUGGUUAAGGAACUAGGCAAAAUGGUCCUGUAACUUCGGGAUAAAGGACGCUCUUGUGAAAGAGCCGCAGAUAAUAGGCCCAGGCGACUGUUUACCAAAAACACAUGGCUAUGCUAAUUCGCAAGAAGAUGUAUAUGGCCUGACACCUGCCCGGUGCCGGAAGGUUAAGAGGAGAGCUCAGAGGUAACUCGAAGGUUUGAAUUGAAGCCCCGGUAAACGGCGGCCGUAACUAUAACGGUCCUAAGGUAGCGAAAUUCCUUGUCGGGUAAGUUCCGACCUG